AUUGAACGCUGGCGGCAGGCCUAACACAUGCAAGUCGAGCGGAUGAAGGGAGCUUGCUCCUGGAUUCAGCGGCGGACGGGUGAGUAAUGCCUAGGAAUCUGCCUGGUAGUGGGGGAUAACGUCCGGAAACGGGCGCUAAUACCGCAUACGUCCUGAGGGAGAAAGUGGGGGAUCUUCGGACCUCACGCUAUCAGAUGAGCCUAGGUCGGAUUAGCUAGUUGGUGGGGUAAAGGCCUACCAAGGCGACGAUCCGUAACUGGUCUGAGAGGAUGAUCAGUCACACUGGAACUGAGACACGGUCCAGACGCCUACGGGAGGCAGCAGUGGGGAAUAUUGGACAAUGGGCGAAAGCCUGAUCCAGCCAUGCCGAGUGUGUGAAGAAGGUCUUCGGAUUGUAAAGCACUUUAAGGUGGGAGGAAGGGCAGUAAGUUAAUACCUUGCUGUUUUGACGUUACCAACAGAAUAAGCACCGGCUAACUUCGUG
rnacentral:rRNA from 1 species